rnacentral:rRNA from 1 species
UUUUAUGGAGAGUUUGAUCCUGGCUCAGAGUGAACGCUGGCGGCGUGCCUAAUACAUGCAAGUCGAACGAUGAAGCUUCUAGCUUGCUAGAGUGCUGAUUAGUGGCGCACGGGUGAGUAACGCAUAGGUCAUGUGCCUCUUAGUUUGGGAUAGCCAUUGGAAACGAUGAUUAAUACCAGAUACUCCCUACGGGGGAAAGAUUUAUCGCUAAGAGAUCAGCCUAUGUCCUAUCAGCUUGUUGGUAAGGUAAUGGCUUACCAAGGCUAUGACGGGUAUCCGGCCUGAGAGGGUGAACGGACACACUGGAACUGAGACACGGUCCAGACUCCUACGGGAGGCAGCAGUAGGGAAUAUUGCUCAAUGGGGGAAACCCUGAAGCAGCAACGCCGCGUGGAGGAUGAAGGUUUUAGGAUUGUAAACUCCUUUUGUUAGAGAAGAUAAUGACGGUAUCUAACGAAUAAGCACCGGCUAACUCCGUGCCAGCAGCCKCGGUAAUACGGAGGGUGCAAGCGUUACUCGGAAUCACUGGGCGUAAAGAGCGCGUAGGCGGGAUAGUCAGUCAGGUGUGAAAUCCUAUGGCUUAACCAUAGAACUGCAUUUGAAACUACUAUUCUAGAGUGUGGGAGAGGUAGGUGGAAUUCUUGGUGUAGGGGUAAAAUCCGUAGAGAUCAAGAGGAAUACUCAUUGCGAAGGCGACCUGCUGGAACAUUACUGACGCUGAUUGCGCGAAAGCGUGGGGAGCAAACAGGAUUAGAUACCCUGGUAGUCCACGCCCUAAACGAUGGAUGCUAGUUGUUGGAGGGCUUAGUCUCUCCAGUAAUGCAGCUAACGCAUUAAGCAUCCCGCCUGGGGAGUACGGUCGCAAGAUUAAAACUCAAAGGAAUAGACGGGGACCCGCACAAGCGGUGGAGCAUGUGGUUUAAUUCGAAGAUACACGAAGAACCUUACCUAGGCUUGACAUUGAGAGAAUCCGCUAGAAAUAGUGGAGUGUCUGGCUUGCCAGACCUUGAAAACAGGUGCUGCACGGCUGUCGUCAGCUCGUGUCGUGAGAUGUUGGGUUAAGUCCCGCAACGAGCGCAACCCCCUUUCUUAGUUGCUAACAGGUUAUGCUGAGAACUCUAAGGAUACUGCCUCCGUAAGGAGGAGGAAGGUGGGGACGACGUCAAGUCAUCAUGGCCCUUACGCCUAGGGCUACACACGUGCUACAAUGGGGUGUACAAAGAGAAGCAAUACUGCGAAGUGGAGCCAAUCUUCAAAACACCUCUCAGUUCGGAUUGUAGGCUGCAACUCGCCUGCAUGAAGCUGGAAUCGCUAGUAAUCGCAAAUCAGCCAUGUUGCGGUGAAUACGUUCCCGGGUCUUGUACUCACCGCCCGUCACACCAUGGGAGUUGUGUUUGCCUUAAGUCAGGAUGCUAAAUUAGCUACUGCCCACGGCACACACAGCGACUGGGGUGAAGUCGUAACAAGGUAACCGUAGGUGAACCUGCGGUUGGAUCACCUCCUUUCUAGA